rnacentral:tRNA from 1 species
GCCCAGGUGGCGAAACUGGCAGACGCACAGCGUUCAGGGCGCUGCGACCGCAAGGUCAUGGGAGUUCAAAUCUCCCCCUGGGCA